rnacentral:rRNA from 1 species
UACGGAGGGUACAAGCAUUAAUCGGAUUUACUGGGCGUAAAGGGUGCGUAGGCGGAUGGGAAAGUCAGAUGUGAAAUUCCGGUACUCAAUACCGGAGCUGCAUUUGAAACUCCCCUUCUUGAGGGUAGACAGAGAGAACGGAAUUCCAUGUGUAGCGGUGAAAUGCGUAGAUAUAUGGAAGAACACCUGUGGCGUAAGCGGUUCUCUAGUUUAUUUCUGACGCUGAGGCACGAGAGUGUGGGGAGCAAACAGG